rnacentral:lncRNA from 1 species
CUCGGCUCCUGCUCCAGGGGCAUGAUGUGAUCCACUGGCAAGGAAGGAUGCCAAAAAAGAAACAACAGAAAGCGGGACUUUCCUGCAACAUCCCAUGCAACAUCUCAUGUAGGACAGUUCAGAAGUUAUUACUUGUAUGAAUAUGGGUGAUGGAAAACAGCUGCAUUAUUGAAAAGACCUGCUAGAUCUUGGAUUCUUGCUCUGGCUUCUGAGAGGAAAUCAGAUGAGGCUUUGAGUGCAAUAGAGAGGAGAGAGUGUAUUACAGAGUCAUAGGAAAUGAGCACUGUCAAUGGCCAAGGGAAGAGCUGAAGAGGAAAAUACUCUCCUUGCCUGGCAAAGCUGAGCAACGACAAAGGGAACAUUGUACAUUCUGCCUGCUAAGGUAA